rnacentral:rRNA from 1 species
GACGAACCGUGCGAACGUUAAUCGGAUUCAUUGGGCUUAAAGGGCGCGUAGGCGGCGGCGUAAGUUCGUGGUGAAAUCCCAUCGGCUCAACCGUGGAAUUGCUUCGAAUACUGCGUCGCUCGAGGGAGAUAGGGGACCGCAGAACUGCCGGUGGAGCGGUGAAAUGUGUUGAUAUCGGCGGGAAUGCCAGUGCCGAAAGGGGCGGUCUGGACCUCUUCGUGACGCUGAGGCGCGAAAGCUAGGGGAGCGAACGGG